ensembl:misc_RNA Metazoa_SRP Metazoan signal recognition particle RNA
GCCUGGUGUGGUGGUGCACGCCUGUAAUCCCAGCUACUUGGGAGGCUGAGGCAGGAGAAUUGCUUGAACCUGGGAGGUGGAGGUUGCAGUGAGCUGAGAUCAUGCCACUGCACUCCAGCCUGGGUGACAGAGUAAGACUCUGUCUCAA